UACGUAGGCAGCAAGCGUUGUUCGGAGUUACUGGGCGUAAAGGGUGCGUAGGCGGCUCUAUAAGUAUGGUGUGAAAUCUCCCGGCUUAACUGGGAGGUGCGCUAUAGACUGUGGGGCUAGAGUGCGGGAGAGGAAAGUGGAAUUCCUGGUGUAGCGGUGAAAUGCGUAGAUAUCAGGAGGAACACCGGUGGGUGUAAACGGCUUUCUGGACCGUAACUGACGCUGGAUGCACGAAAGCGUGGGUAGCAAACAGG
rnacentral:rRNA from 1 species